rnacentral:rRNA from 1 species
GACGAACGCUGGCGGCGUGCUUAACACAUGCAAGUCGAACGGAAAGGCCCUGCUUUCGUGGGGUGCUCGAGUGGCGAACGGGUGAGUAACACGUGAGUAACCUGCCCGUGACUUUGGGAUAACUUCAGGAAACUGGGGCUAAUACCGGAUAGGAGCUCCUGCUGCAUGGUGGGGGUUGGAAAGUUUCGGCGGUUGGGGAUGGACUCGCGGCUUAUCAGCUUGUUGGUGGGGUAGUGGCUUACCAAGGCUUUGACGGGUAGCCGGCCUGAGAGGGUGACCGGCCACAUUGGGACUGAGAUACGGCCCAGACUCCUACGGGAGGCAGCAGUGGGGAAUAUUGCACAAUGGGCGGAAGCCUGAUGCAGCAACGCCGCGUGCGGGAUGACGGCCUUCGGGUUGUAAACCGCUUUCGCCUGUGACGAAGCGUGAGUGACGGUAAUGGGUAAAGAAGCACCGGCUAACUACGUG